rnacentral:rRNA from 1 species
UACGUAGGGUGCAAGCGUUGUCCGGAAUUAUUGGGCGUAAAGAGCUCGUAGGCGGUGUGUCACGUCGGCCGUGAAAACCUGCAGCUUAACUGUGGGCGUGCGGUCGAUACGGGCAUCACUGGAGUUCGGCAGGGGAGACUGGAAUUCCUGGUGUAGCGGUGAAAUGCGCAGAUAUCAGGAGGAAUACCGGUGGCGAAAGCGACUCUCUGGACGGUAACUGACGCUGAGGCACGAAAGCGUGGGGAGCAAACAGG